rnacentral:rRNA from 1 species
AGCAGCCGCGGUAAUUCCAGCUCCAAUAGCGUAUAUUAAAGUUGUUGCAGUUAAAAAGCUCGUAGUUGAAUUUCGAGAUCAAAUUGUUGGUCGUGCCUUGGUACGCACUGGCAUUAUUGAUUUCUCCCUUCUGACGAACCAUGAUGUCAUUAAUUUGGUGUCUUGGGGAAUCAGGACUGUUACUUUGAAAAAUUAGAGUGUUUAAAGCAGGCUCACGCUUGAAUACAUUAGCAUGGAAUAAUGAAAUAGGACGUUUGAUUCUAUUUUGUUGGUUUCUAGGAUCGACGUAAUGAUUAAUAGGGAUAGUUGGGGGCAUUAGUAUUCAAUUGUCAGAGGUGAAAUUCUUGGAUUUAUUGAAGACUAACUACUGCGAAAGCAUUUGCCAAGGAUGUUUUCAUUAAUCAAGAACGAAAGUUAGGGGAUCGAAGACGAUCAGAUACCGUCGUAGUC